GUCCCUCUCUCUCUACAUCUCAACACAAUGAAUAGGGGAAAGUGGCUCCCAUUGUGUCCCGGUGAUCUCAAAGUCAUUGCAGUUUUUAAGCGGUGACUUGUGGCACUUUGAUAACCGCCGGGAGCUGUCAGUGCAGCGGGCUUCUGAAAAAUUUACAGUGUUAAAUCGCAGCAUAUGCUGGAGAAUUUGUCAAAAUCUUGUACAGUAUCCGGCUGCCACCUAGCGUAUGGAGUGUCGCUGUAGAACUCCGGAGCUGAACAGCCAUUCAAAGCGAUCGCGGCGCCUCCUCGCUCACAACACGUCCUUUAUUCCCCGAAAAAAAAACUUCUGCACCUUUAAUAUGAUUAAUUCUUUAGGAUUUUUCUCUAAUUGAUUCGGACGUUGCUGAGCGGGCCUGCGUGAUCUCCGUCGCUUUGUUUUGUAUAGAUCUGCCUCUACGCUUGGCUUGACUUAAGUGCCAGGAAUUGCUCUUAUUUCCAAAACAACCGAUUGCUAAUUGACUUUUUUCCCCCCUUCCAAAAACGGUUCAUCUAAAUCAGUAAAGCCAAGCCAAAAUGAUGCCGGCUCCUUCGCCCCUCAAAUAAAUAAAUAUACAUUUCCCACACAAAAAUCAUCAGAUGAGUAUCUGGAUCUAGAGUAAAACGAUCAAACGACAGACAGAAUGCAUUCCUGACCCUGUUUCAUUGCAUGCAUCUGCAAAAUCUAUGAACAUUAAAUGUCCAGUAGAAUUUCCCACGUGCAUUAGUGGAUGAAAUAACAGAAUGUAGAGCAUCUAUCUGUCAACCCUUGGUAUUGCGGACCUCGUUAUAAUGGAUUUUGGCUACAGUGGACCGAGGUGGUGUAUGGAGUCAGUACAUUCCAGAUAAAUUUCCAUAUUCUUUCCAGAUUGAGGUGUGACCAACAACACAGAGGCUGAAGAGAUUUUCUUACGAUUAAUUGGAGGACUCUGAGGGAACCCCAGCAGCACAUCCAGAUGUGACAGAGGUUGACAUGCACCCCUUCCAACUUGCCUAUUGCUUCCGGUGUAGCCUCCUGUACACAAGACCAAGAGGCAAUUAGGAGAUGAACACGCGUUCUGCCUGCCAUGGCCUGCUUGAUCUCCCAGUUGCCAACCAUUUUAACUCCUCUUCCCAUUCCCAUAUUGUCCUUCCUGUCCAUGGCCUCUGCCAUUGUCAUAGUGAGCCCACAUGCAAACUGAAAGAACAGCACCUCAUUUUAUGCUUGAGUGAUCUGCAACACAAGGGUAUUGAUUUCUCCAAUUUCAAGUAACUCCCCGCCCUUGCUCCACCUCAUUCCCCCUGCAUCCCAUCCCCACCCCUGUGUGCAGGCAUUUCUCCCACAAUCUCUCAUCACCCUAGUCCUUUCUCCUCCCCCGCACUCUCAUUCCCAUCGCCUAGUUACACAUUUCCCUUUAAACCCUCUCUCUCCACUUCUUCCUGUCACCGUCCACCCAGUAUGAGUAUUUCCAAUUAGUUAGUACAGGGGCCAGGUGUAAUGGUGAGAAGGCAGGAGAAUGGGGUUAGGAGGGAAAGAUAGAUCAGCCAUGAUUGAAUGGUAAAGUAGACUUAAUGGGCUGAAUGGCCUAAUUCUGCUUCUAUGACUUAAAAAAAUAUGGACUUAUGAUGUUUUGGAUCGGGACUCUUCUGUAAAGGGCAAAUAAUCAAAAGCCUUUCUUUUAUGAGUGGGGUUAAAUAUCACGGGAGGAGACAUCAAAAGCCUUCUUGAUCACCCUCUUCGUUUUAUCUACCUGUGACGCCACUUAUUUAUUCAUGUGUGUAUAUAUUUAUAUUACUGUAUAUGGACACACUGAUCUGUUUUGUAGUCAAUGCCUACUAUGUUCUGUGUGCUGAAGCAAAGCAAGAAUUUCAUUGUCCUAUCAGGGACACAUGACAAUAAACUCACUUGAACUUGAACUUGAACUUUCAGGGAACUAUGUACCUGUAUGCCUAAAUCCGUCUGCUCAACAACACUUGUAGAAGUCUUCGCAAGCCCAAGUAUCAGAAGUAUCCAGGGCUCCACCAUUCACUAUGAACAGUUACCCUUGAUUUUGAGGUAUAGACCUGGAUGGAGCUUGGAUCUGUACACAUCUCUCAGAGUUCAGGGUGCUAUUGUCUAAACUCUCCUGCCCAUUUGUUCUCCAGAUGUUAACUUUCAUAACAUAUAAAUAUUUCCUUUAUGCUUUAAUAGCGACAAUUAUGAGAAAAUAUUCAGCAUUAUUUCACAUAUGUGUAUAUAGCACAUCAUUACAGAAACACAUGUGCAACAUGUUGGCUGUAUGUAAAAAUAUCUAGUGCCAGAGUAUAAAUAUAAAAUAUAUUGAAAAAUAAAUAUAUUCU